AUACAGAGGGUGCGAGCGUUAAUCGGAAUCACUGGGCGUAAAGCGCGCGCAGGCGGCUUGGUAAGUUGGAUGUGAAAGCCUACGGCUCAACCGUAGAACUGCAUCCAAAACUGUCAAGCUAGAGUGUGGGAGAGGAAGAUGGAAUUAGUUGUGUAGGGGUAAAAUCCGUAGAGAUAACUAGGAAUACCAAAAGCGAAGGCAAUCUUCUGGAACACUACUGACGCUGAGGCGCGAAAGCGUGGGGAGCAAACAGGAUUAGAAACCCUAGUAGUCC
rnacentral:rRNA from 1 species